rnacentral:lncRNA from 1 species
AGAAUCCCGAGUUUGGCCCUUGAGUCUCAGGAUGCAAGAAUCAAGACCAUCACAAUGUGGCUGAGCAAGGAACCAUUAAACCACAGAGAAGACAUGGACCAGAUGAUAUAGACACGGGAGGUACCAAGAACUUUAAUAGAACUUAACAGUCGCUGUGACCUUUGCAUUGAUCCUGUCAUGGAACACAGAGCUGGGAGUUCAGCAAGGCUGGUAGGCACACGGGGAGAUGGCGGAGAC